rnacentral:rRNA from 1 species
AUUGAACGCUGGCGGCAUGCCUAACACAUGCAAGUCGAGCGGAUGAAGGGAGCUUGCUCCUGGAUUCAGCUGCGGACGGGUGAGUAAUGCCUAGGAAUCUGCCUGGUAGUGGGGGAUAACGUCCGGAAACGGGCGCUAAUACCACAUACGUCCUGAGUGAGAAAGUGGGGGAUCUUCGGACCUCACGCUAUCAGAUGAGCCUAGGUCGGAUUAGCUAGUUGGUGGGGUAAAGGCCUACCAAGGCGACGAUCCGUAACUGGUCUGAGAGGAUGAUCAGUCACACUGGAACUGAGACACGGUCCAGACUCCUACGGGAGGCAGCAGUGGGGAAUAUUGGACAAUGGGCGAAAGCCUGAUCCAGCCAUGCCGCGUGUGUGAAGAAGGUCUUCGGAUUGUAAAGCACUUUAAGUUGGGAGGAAGGGCAGUAAGUUAAUACCUUGCUGUUUUGACGUUACCAACAGAAUAAGCCCCGGCUAACUUCGUG